UAGGGAAUCUUCCACAAUGGACGCAAGUCUGAUGGAGCAACGCCGCGUGAGUGAAGAAGGUUUUCGGACCGUAAAGCUCUGUUGUUGGUGAAGAAGGAUAGAGGUAGUAACUGGCCUUUAUUUGACGGUAAUCAACCAGAAAGUCACGGCUAACUACGUGCCAGCAGCCGCGGUAAUACGUAGGUGGCAAGCGUUGUCCGGAUUUAUUGGGCGUAAAGCGAGCGCAGGCGGAAGAAUAAGUCUGAUGUGAAAGCCCUCGGCUUAACCGAGGAAUUGCAUCGGAAACUGUUUUCUUGAGUGCAGAAGAGGAGAGUAGAACUCCAUGUGUAGCGGUGGAAUGCGUAGAUAUAUGGAAGAAUACCAGUGGCGAAGGCGGCUCUCUGGUCUGCAACUGACGCUGAGGUUCGAAAGCAUGGGUAGCGAACAGGAUUAGAUACCCUGGUAGUCCAUGCCGUAAACGAUGAGUGCUAAGUGUUGGGAGGCUUCCGCCUCUCAGUGCUGCAGCUAACGCAUUAAGCACUCCGCCUGGGGGAGUACGACCGCAAGGUUGAAAC
rnacentral:rRNA from 1 species